rnacentral:lncRNA from 1 species
CCAACAUGGUGAAACCCCGUCUCUACUAAAAAUACAAAAAUUAGCUAGGCGUGGUGGUGUAUGAUUAACUUAAUACCUGUAAAUGACUUUCCACUUCUUGUAAGACCUUGAAGCACACUCUGAAAUUUCUAGUUGAUGUGUUUGAAUCUCAAUGGGACAGAUAAGUUGAAAGUAUAGAAAAAAUAAGACAUACCAUGUAAACAUUCAUUUUGUAAAAAGAAAUCAGAAGUGGCUAUAAGAAAAAGUAGACCUCAGAGCAAAAAAAAAAAAAAAAAAAAAAGUACCGAAACAAAGAGAGAUCCUAGUGAUAUGACUAGAAAUCCUACAGCUAUUAAAACGAGAAUAAGGGAACCCUACCAGCAAUUCUAUGCCAUGAUUAGAUUUUCUCCCUCACUUUACAUUUUAUUAGUAAAAUAGAUAAUUUUGAAACCUUUAAUCUUAUUUCUCAAGUUUUUGAGAAUCUAGAGGUUUAGCCAAGGUAGACUUAUUAAUAUUACACUAAUAACAUUAUCAAGGGAUCAGAAACUUUAGGUAAAGUUUAUUUCCCAGUCCUGCAGUCUCUUGUGUUUCUGAAUGACUCUCCAGAGCAGCU